AUGAGGUUGUUCAGAGUGAAAUUUUAGCAAGAUGCAUCUCCCCGAGUAGGGCUGUGUAGGGCAAAGGAAAUGGAAUCCUUAAUACAUCACAGCUCCCUCAAAUGAGUGCCUCUCCCUUGGAAAACCUUGACAUUUGUUAGACUGGAGCCUCAAAAUAUGUCCCUAAAGUUCUAGUGUCCUCCCUCUGUCAUAAGAAAUAUAUUUUAACUGAGCCAGGCUCUGUGGAGCUUUGUUUCUAUGCUCAAAAGUUUUCCUUUCUGACUGGUUAGAGAGAGAAGGAGGAGGCACCAGUCCAGGGAGCAUGUGAGUCUGAACCCCAGUUCCAAAUUUUCUGUUAUUUCCAACUCUUCAGUGGACUCUCUCUCUCUCUCCCUCUCUCUCUCUCAGCUGUAAUACAGUAAAAUGAUUUCAUAGUCACAUAUUCAAUUGAGAAGCAUUACAAGGAAGAGAAGAAGAAUUCAGCAAUCCUGUGUUACCAGAUGAAUAUGUCCAGAUAUGAUAACCAAAACCAGAUGGCUUAAAGCUACUCUUGCCAACACCCACGUGGAGGGCUCGUCUUCCACUGGACUGAGGAGACCAGAGCGAGCCUGCCUUGGCACCUGGCUUCUGCUGCAGCAGCAUCCGGACCCCCAUUCUCUUCCCAUCACACAACGUCCUGACCUUUCUUCUGAGCUCCUCCCCACAGCUCCAGCUGAUGCAAACUCUGAUUCAAAUGACAGACUGGUCACCUCUCCCUCCACACAAGCACACUCCCUUGGCUGUCUCCGGGAAAUCUUCAUGUUUACUAGGCUGGAGUCUCAGAACAGGUCCUUACAGGUUCUAGUUUCCUGUGUCAUUUGAAAUGUAAGUGUCUGCAAUUCUCCAGUCUGCUGAGAACCUGACCAUUUUUACAGUCACCAUUUUCCCUUGUCCUCUUAUAUUCAACCCAUGGCUAAAGCCUCUCUGUUCUACUUCAGCAGCACCUUUGGCCUCUCUCUUCUUCCCCUUCGGUUUCUAGACCAUUGCAGAGGCUACUGGAAGGCAACCCUGCUUCUAGCCUUCCACAAGCCCCUCCUCCUAUCCACCCUCGACAGCACUGCUACUUCAGUUUCUGUGCACAACCUGAUCUGCUCAGCCCCUGACUCCAUGGCUGCGGAGUGCUGCCAGGAUGACGUCAACUCCCCUCACAGAUCCCCGAGCUUUGAAGGCCUGCCACAAACUGGCUCCAGGCUCCAUCAAAUGAAAUCCUGCCAAGCUUCAAGGCCCAAUUAAAAAUAUAAGAUGCCAUUAAGCCUUCUGCCUUCUUUGGUUUCUUUCUCCACUCCGUUCUUCCAAAUAAAACCACUUUCUGCUGUG